UGGGACGUGGUGAGAUGUACUUUUAUCAACGUGAUAACUCAUUCAUACUCCAUCUUGCCAAGGGGCUGGGUGGCCCCUUAAGACAGUAACAGGCAUAAAUGCUGGUGCACAAGAAGGGAAGCGCGCGAGAGGUAGACCUGAGCUGUCUGCUGAGACCCAGGAGCCAGAGUGUGCUCCGGGAGGGAACAUCUGAGGCUUUCUUUCUCCUCACUGUAUUGAGAAGCAGGAUCAUGUGCUACGAAUGAGGGGUGGCCGUCUGAGGCAGGAAGAGGAGGUUUGGAACAUCUUUCGAGGAGAGGAGAGAGCUGCCUUGGAACAAGAACCAAAAAGGAUUCCGACAGCCCGGAUGGCCAGCUCCGGUGGGGACUCUUCUCUUCUCUGAAGAUAACUGUUUCACCUGAGAUGAAAUAUCUGAAAUCAGCCAAUAAAGGAGACUGUGAAUGCCCCAGGAAAUCUGACUCCAGAGCCCACAAUCCUCAUAGGAAAUAUGGGGGAACCAAAUGUGCUAGACACAGGAAGAGAGAAGCCUGACCAGGAUGGCCAACUCUUUGGGUUGCAUAAGAUCGUCUUUCUCUUCGAGUUCAUUUCUUAACGAGGUAUUUGGUAUCUCCAGCUCAUUAACUGAAGGAUCAUUCGGACUCUCGCAGAUUUGCUAAAAAGCCCGCCUGCCUGUUGGCCCCAGCACCACUGCCCGCUAGCUGUGCACCCAUGGGCAAGUCAUAUGAUCGCUCAGUACUACUUUUCCAGCUAUCUGUGGGAAUGAUUGCUGCUGGAAGGAGAUUAUGCACAUCAAGCUCCUGACAGAGAGGGCCCAGAGAAGACACAUGGGAGCCAGCGAUGGGAUUGCAGUGAGCCACUGCAUUAUGCCAUUAUAUCCCUUGUGGAAUGAGAGAGGAGGGGAUAGAGUCCAGGAACAAACAACAACAACAACAACAGAAGGUCUUCCUUUCAGCGGCGUAAAGAGCUUUGGAGCCAUGGGAGAGAACGGUGCCUGGAGGUAGACAGGAUCUGCAUACUUAAAAACUCCCCAUAUCCACCUGGCAAGGGAAGUAUUGACUGCUUUUGUUCCUUUCACUUUCCUAUUUUUUUGCCCUUUUCUACUUACAGACACUCAUUUUUCUAGCUGAAAAUAGAAAGCCUUAUCAGAUUGGAAUAACAGCCCUUCUUGUUGUAGUUUUUUCCCCAAAGACUGGAUGCAUUUGGGCCUCAUCAGAAAGCCAUCUGCUGUGUACGCACAGACCUAUUCAGAGCCAGAAAAAGAAAACGAAGGAGGGGAAAGCCCUGGCUUACUCAUCUUAAAAUGAAGAGCUGUGGCUUGCAAUUCGUGCAUUCUGCCACACUUCUGACAGAGCUGGCCACGGACAGUGUGCACCACUGGGAGCGGAGGAUGCAGGGCUUCUGCAUGGAAUGAGGUGACCUUGCACAGGGCUGCUGCCGACAGACAAGAGACGCUGACUGCACAGGAAUGAAGGCUUGUGGUCUGCCGCCUGCUUGGUCGAGGCUACCCCCUUUACUGGUUAUAUUUAACUCCCAGUCAUUCCUGUGUGUCAGUCCUCGCCAAGCUCAGUCCAGGACUGGCAUGGAAAGGUGCUGCAAGGUUUUCAGAGGGUGCCUCAUUCAGUCCACAGGAUGCCCCUGCCCGUGGAAUGCUCACUUCUGCUCCCGUGGAGGAGCAGACCUCACACAAAGGCAUCUGCUGGUCUCCCCUCAAGUCACUACAGCAAAACUAGAUGGCAGAAGAAAAGCCCAUUCAAAGUCAAGAAUAUUAAUUGACCUUAAAAGUGUUUAACAUUUUAAAACCAUUUUAGUUUUUAAUAUCUGCAUUUGUAUAAGUACACAUAUAGCUUGGUUGCAAGACAUUUAAAUAUCUAUAUACCUUAGAAAGUUAGGAGACCUUUGUUAUGUCGCGCAGAGGUAGUUAGUAGUUUAUUGUGCAUUCUUAUAGAAUUUUUCACCAUUUGCACACUUUGAUUUAUACAAAACUGUGCACCUUAUAGGGUCCUGUACUUUCCACAGUAUGCUGCUCCCAUCUAACUGAUCUCAGUUACGAAUCUAACAUCUGUCUCUCCUACCAGGCUGUGAUGACCAUGAGGACCUAGAAGACCCACAUCUUUGGAGUACAAAUUGGGAGCCCUGUCAUCAAAGCCCAUCUUCCUCUUAGUCACUGUCAAGAAAUCAUGACCUUGUUCCCAACCAGGGGCCCAACUUGUAUCCAGGUUCCUCCCAUGCAGCCUUUUUAUGUCACAUAGAGGGAAAAAAUGCUACAUCCAGUUUUGACAUUUUUGAAUAAAUGAGUUAGAGAAAAAAAUGCAUCAUCUCAGAAGAUGAAACAGUUUCAGGGACUGACUGGUGAGGUGUUGCCGAGUAAUUCACUCAGACCCGGAAGUCUGUUCUGCUCGGCAGCGGCCCCCACACCCCUGGACUCUGGGCUGCGCACAGUUGGCUGGGGAGCUCUGGCAGGCUCAGGCCUCCACUGUGUCGCCAGGAGAUGAGGCUCUGGAUGUAGGCCUGCCAUGCAGCGGGGCUCUCCACUGCCAGCUGUGUGCAGAAUGACAUUUCCCCCACAUGUUCAAGCUGGGCAAGAACCGAGGCAUUGCCAUCCUUCCAGAGGUUCCCGGGCAUCCGACCACUGGGAAGAGACUACCUCCAAGGGCUCUCUUUACGGUGUAAUCUCUUUUAUUUAUUUAUCUUCCACUCGUACAUAGACCUAGCUCCUUCAUUUCCAGAGGGGACAAUUUUCUUCAGGGAGGAAUUGUGCCAGUUCUUUAACAUUAUAUUUCAACUUAAAGGACUUUUGCUUUUUUCCUUUCUGUUUUGAUUUCACUGGAAGCCAAUUUCAGAUAGCAAUUCUGAUAUAAGGCAGUAAUCCUUUCAACCUUCAUUCCUUUAAUCUUAGACAAAGGGAUGUGGUUUCUCUUUUCCUGUUUUCUCUACCUUCUUGUCUCUUCUCUCUUCUGGCCACUUACCUUUCCUCCCUCCCUUCCUUUCUCCCUUUUUAUGUUUCUGCUGCCU